GGCGCACGGGUGAGUAACGCGUAUACAAUCUGCCUUUUACAGGGGGAUAGCCUUUAGAAAUGAAGAUUAAUAUCCCAUAGUAAGUUGUUAUUGCAUGAUAGUAACUUUAAAGUUUCGGCGGUAAAAGAUGAGUAUGCGUUCUAUUAGCUAGAUGGUGUGGUAACGGCACACCAUGGCGACGAUAGAUAGGGGCCCUGAGAGGGGGAUCCCCCACNCUGGUACUGAGACACGGACCAGACUCCUACGGGAGGCAGCAGUGAGGAAUAUUGGACAAUGGGCGAGAGCCUGAUCCAGCCAUGCCGCGUGCAGGAAGACUGCCCUAUGGGUUGUAAACUGCUUUUAUACAGGAAGAAACCUUUUCACGUGUGAAAAGCUGACGGUACUGUAAGAAUAAGGAUCGGCUAACUCCGUGCCAGCAGCCGCGGUAAUACGGAGGAUCCAAGCGUUAUCCGGAAUCAUUGGGUUUAAAGGGUCCGUAGGUUGAUAAUUAAGUCAGGGGUGAAAGUUUGCAGCUCAACUGUAAAAUUGCCUUUGAUACUGGUUAUCUUGAAUUAUUGUGAAGUGGUUAGAAUAUGUAGUGUAGCGGUGAAAUGCAUAGAUAUUACAUAGAAUACCAAUUGCGAAGGCAGAUCACUAACAAUAUAUUGACACUGAUGGACGAAAGCGUGGGGAGCGAACAGGAUUAGAUACCCUGGUAGUCCACGCCGUAAACGAUGGAUACUAGCUGUUCGGUUUUCGGACUGAGUGGCUAA
rnacentral:rRNA from 1 species